UCAGCUUUGGUGCAGUAGGUAGUGUGUCAGUCUCACAAGCUGAAGGUCCCAAGUUCAAUCCUUGGAAGUAGGA
rfam:Monodelphis domestica chromosome 3, whole genome shotgun sequence.